rnacentral:rRNA from 1 species
AAUGAACGUUGGCGGCGUGGAUUAGGCAUGCAAGUCGAGCGAGAACCGUAGCAAUACGGGGACAGCGGCGAAAGGGAGAGGAAUACGUGGAUACCUACCCUCAGGUUCAGGAUAGCUGUGGGAAACUACAGGUAAUACUGAAUAAUAUCUCCGGAUCAAAGGUGAGAUUCCACGUGAGGAGGGGUCCGCGUCCUAUUAGAUAGUUGGUGGGGUAAUGGUUUACCCAGGCGAAGAUGGGUAUGGUAUGUGAGAGCAUGAUGCCACUCACUGGGACUGAGACACUGCCCAGACACCUACGGGUGGCUGCAGUCGAGAAUCUUCGGCAAUGGGGGCAACCCUGACCGAGCGACGCCGCGUGCGAGAUGAAGGCCUUCGGGUUGUAAAUCGCUGUCAGAGGGGAGGAAAUGCUAGUGGGUUCUCCCACUAGUUUGACCUAGCCUCAGAGGAAGGACGGGCUAAGUUCGUGCCAGCAGCCGCAG